rnacentral:lncRNA from 1 species
GGUGAUGGAAACCCUGGAAAUUUUGAGUGACCUUCAUCUUGAGAUCGUGCUAGCUGAUCACCGUGUGUGGAGGAAGCAGUGAAUACCAGUUCAACGCCGCGCCCUCACAAGCAAUUAUGAAAGAUUUGGCGAGGAUGACAUCAUCCCCCCCGGCCGAAGCUACAGCGGCUUCAUAACUCAUUAAGAAUUGCCGUGGGUCUGUGCGCCCGUUGAAUUUGGGCAAGGUGGUUGGUUUGUAAGUUGUUGGCCAUGGUGCAGUUUGUAGCCCUAUUGAGAGCGG